UCGAGAAUCUUCGGCAAUGGGCGAAAGCCUGACCGAGCGAUGCCGCGUGCGGGAUGAAGGCCUUCGGGUUGUAAACCGCUGUCGUAGGGGAGAAAGGGUCGUUGAAGAAACGACUUUGAUCUAUCCUAGGAGGAAGUCCGGGCUAAGUUCGUGCCAGCAGCCGCGGUAACACGAACCGGACAAACGUUAUUCGGAAUUACUGGGCUUAAAGGGUGCGUAGGCGGUGCGGUAAGUGCGGUGUGAAAUCCCACGGCUCAACCGUGGAAUUGCGCUGCAUACUGCCGUGCUAGAGGGAGACAGGGGUAAGCGGAACUGAUGGUGGAGCGGUGAAAUGCGUUGAUAUCAUCAGGAACACCGGUGGCGAAAGCGGCUUACUGGGUCUCUUCUGACGCUGAGAUACGAAAGCUAGGGGAGCGAACGGGAUUAGAUACCCCAGUAGUCCCUGAGCGGGCUGGCAAGGCGCAU
rnacentral:rRNA from 1 species